rnacentral:rRNA from 1 species
GAUGAACGCUGGCGGCGUGCUUAACACAUGCAAGUCGAACGAUGAUCCCAGCUUGCUGGGGGAUUAGUGGCGAACGGGUGAGUAACACGUGAGUAACCUGCCCUUAACUCUGGGAUAAGC